rnacentral:rRNA from 1 species
UGGGGAAUCUUGCACAAUGGGCGCAAGCCUGAUGCAGCAACGCCGCGUGCGGGAAGACGGCCCUAGGGUUGUAAACCGCUUUCAGGAGGGAAGAAAUGACGGUACCUCCAGAAGAAGGUGCGGCCAACUACGUGCCAGCAGCCGCGUGACACGUAGGCACCAAGCGUUAUCCGGAUUUAUUGGGCGUAAAGAGCUCGUAGGCGGUUCGGUAAGUCGGGUGUGAAAUCCAAGGCUCAACCUUGGGACGCCACCCGAUACUGCUGUGACUCGAGUGCAGUAGGGGAGCAGGGAAUUCCUGGUGUAGCGGUGAAAUGCGCAGAUAUCAGGAGGAACACCAGUGGCGAAGGCGCUGCUCUGGGCUGUAACUGACGCUGAGGAGCGAAAGCAUGGGUAGCAAAACAGGAUUAGAUACCCUGGUAGUCCAUGCCGUAAACGUUGGGCACUAGGUGUGGGUCUCAACCAACGAGAUCCGCGCCGUCGCUAACGCAUUAAGUGCCCCGCCUGGGGAGUACGGUCGCAAGACUAAAACUCAAAUGAAUUGA